rnacentral:tRNA from 1 species
GGAGGGGUCGCAUAGUGGCCUAGUGCGGGCGCCUGCUAAGCGCUUUCCCUGGGUAACUGGGGACGAGGGUUCGAAUCCCUCCCCCUCCGCCA